rfam:Ovis aries breed Texel chromosome 2, whole genome shotgun sequence.
UCCCUGGUGGUCCAGUGGUUAAGAAUCUGCAUUGUUAAUGCAGGGGACCCAGGUUUGAUCCCUGGUCAGGGAA